rnacentral:rRNA from 1 species
GGGUCAGUAGGUUGGUCGUGCCACCGGUACGUACUGGUCUCACUGAUUCCUCCUUCCUGAAGAACCGUAAUGCCGUUAGUUUGGUGUUGCGGGGAAACAGGACUGUUACUUUGAAAAAAUUAGAGUGUUUAAAGCAAGCUAACGCUUGAAUACAUUAGCAUGGAAUAAUGAAAUAGGACGAUCGAUCCUAUUUUGUUGGUUUCUAGGAUUGACGUA